CCUACGGGAGGCAGCAGUGAGGAAUAUUGGUCAAUGGACGAGAGUCUGAACCAGCCAAGUAGCGUGAAGGAUGACUGCCCUAUGGGUUGUAAACUUCUUUUAUAUGGGAAUAAAAUGUUCCACGUGUGGGAUUUUGUAUGUACCAUAUGAAUAAGGAUCGGCUAACUCCGUGCCAGCAGCCGCGGUAAUACGGAGGAUCCGAGCGUUAUCCGGAUUUAUUGGGUUUAAUGGGAGCGUAGGUGGAUUGUUAAGUCAGUUGUGAAAGUUUGCGGCUCAACCGUAAAAGUGCAAUUGAAACUGGCAGUCUUGAGUACAGUAGAGGUGGGCGGAAUUCGUGGUGUAGCGGUGAAAUGCUUAGAUAUCACGAAGAACUCCGAUUGCGAAGGCAGUUCACUGGACUGCAACUGACACUGAGGCUCGAAAGUGUGGGUAUCAAACAGGAUUAGAUACCCUUGUAGUC
rnacentral:rRNA from 1 species